rnacentral:rRNA from 1 species
UACGGAGGGGGCUAGCGUUUUUCGGAAUUACUGGGCGUAAAGCGCACGUAGGCGGUCUUUUAAGUCAGAGGUGAAAGCCCGGGGCUCAACUCCGGAAUUGCCUUUGAAACUGGAAGACUUGAACACGGGAGAGGUGAGUGGAAUUCCGAGUGUAGAGGUGAAAUUCGUAGAUAUUCGGAGGAACACCAGUGGCGAAGGCGGCUCACUGGACCGUUGUUGACGCUGAGGUGCGAAAGCGUGGGGAGCAAACAGG